rnacentral:tmRNA from 1 species
GGGGAUGCACGGCUUCGACAAGAGGGAUCACCCUUUGGGUGCGCGCGGGGGAGCUCCGGUAACUCCUUAAUAGGCCGGAACCCAAUACGUGCAAACAAAGUCGCACGAGGCGUCCUUUCACCGUUUCAGAUGAAAGAUCUCGCCUUCGCAUACGCGUAAGUUCUUGAGCAUCGCUCGAACUCGCCUAUGCGACGUCAGCUGCAAGGUCAUCCAGUAGUAGCAGUCUGGCGUAAUACACACUGGAUCCGGAUGUCAGUUUGGUUCAGCUAACAUCUCAAACUAAGAACCUCGGUGCUCAUGCCUUUUGGUCGUUUCCGACCAUGAGCGCUCAAAUCACCCCCAAACGACCUACCCCGCGUAGACCCACCUAGAGGACCCUCUUGGACGGGGGUUCGAGACCCCCCAUCUCCACCG